GACGAACGCUGGCGGCGUGCCUAAUACAUGCAAGUUGAGCGCUGAAGGUUGGUACUUGUACCAACUGGAUGAGCAGCGAACGGGUGAGUAACGCGUGGGGAAUCUGCCUUUGAGCGGGGGACAACAUUUGGAAACGAAUGCUAAUACCGCAUAAAAACUUUAAACACAAGUUUUAAGUUUGAAAGAUGCAAUUGCAUCACUCAAAGAUGAUCCCGCGUUGUAUUAGCUAGUUGGUGAGGUAAAGGCUCACCAAGGCGAUGAUACAUAGCCGACCUGAGAGGGUGAUCGGCCACAUUGGGACUGAGACACGGCCCAAACUCCUACGGGAGGCAGCAGUAGGGAAUCUUCGGCAAUGGACGAAAGUCUGACCGAGCAACGCCGCGUGAGUGAAGAAGGGUUUCGGAUCGUAAAACUCUGUUGGUAGAGAAGAACGUUGGUGGGAGUGGAAAGCUCAUCAAGUGACGGUAACUACCCAGAAAGGGACGGCUAACUACGUG
rnacentral:rRNA from 1 species